rnacentral:rRNA from 1 species
UACGUAGGGUGCGAGCGUUGUCCGGAAUUAUUGGGCGUAAAGAGCUCGUAGGCGGUGUGUCGCGUCGGCCGUGAAAACCCGGGGCUCAACUCCGGGCUUGCGGGCGAUACGGGCAGGCUAGAGUUCGGUAGGGGAGACUGGAAUUCCUGGUGUAGCGGUGAAAUGCGCAGAUAUCAGGAGGAACACCGGUGGCGAAGGCGGGUCUCUGGGCCGAUACUGACGCUGAGGAGCGAAAGCGUGGGGAGCGAACAGG